GAAAAGAUAGACUUCAGAAUAGCAAAAAUAUUUACCAGCUAUACCUCUAGAAUAUACAGAGAACUAAAAGUAAUAUAAACAUCAACAAAAAACCAACUCGAUUAAAAGAUGGGGUAUGGACCUAAACACAGAUCUGAAAAGAUGAAAUGCAAAUGGUUGAGAAAUAUUUUUUUAAAUGUUCAACAUCAUUAGCAAUCAGGGAAAUGUAAAUCAAAACUACUUUGAGAUUUUGUCCUACCCUCAUCAGAUGGAUAAGAUUCCCCCAAGCAAAUGAUGAUGAAUACUGGUGUGGCUGUGAAAAAAGAACUCUUACUCACUGGGAGAACAAACUCGCAUAGCCACUAUGGGCUUCAAUGUGGAGUUUCCUCACAAAGCUAGGAAUAGAUCUCCCAUUUUGAGGCAUAUAACCAAAAGGAUCUGUAUCCUACCACAGAGAUACUUGGUUUUCUGCAUUCAUUGGUAUUGUAUUGUAGUCAUACUAGCUAGGAAAUGAAAAUAGCCUAGAUCAUCAAUGGAUGAAUGGUUAAUAAAAGUGUGGUACACUUACACCAGGGUUAUUAUUAAGCUGUUAAUAAAAAUGUAUUCAGAGGUAAAUAAAAGGAGAUAGAAACAAGCAUUCUGAAUAAGGUGCCCCCCUUCUUUUUGAGACACAUAAGAGACAAGAAUAAAGCAAGAAGUUGGAGAGGAAAAUCACACAAAUGAAAUGUGCAGUGACCAUCCCCCACUUGCUUUGGAGCCCUUUCUGCAGCAUCUUGGCUGCUUUUUUACUUAUGGGAAAAUGGAGGAUGUGUUUGUGGAAGGGCAUAUUACACAAUAUCUGCAUUUCUUGUAUACGGGAAUCUGGAAAGGUGUCACAGUAAACCCAGGCCUCUGUGCAUGAGUGACUAGACAAACAGUAUUUGAAUGGCACUAGAAAGGGGGCAGUCCACAGGGAGCAACAAUAACAACUGCCAGAAUCAGUGGUACUAUCUUUAUAAUCCCCCCCAGAAUCACCUCUGCAUUUGUUUAGCAGAGGGUGCCUAUGUGGAGGCUUCCGGUUGCUUAUUCUUCUCAUGACUUAGAUAAAACUAUACAAACAAAAAUAGAAAACAAAAACCAGAACUCCACUGAAUGUUUUGUAGCUUCUUGUUAGUUUCAUAUUCUCUUUGUUUCCCUUUCAUAUUUAGCACUAAAUGUCUUGAAAGGAAAAGGAACUGCACACUGAUUUAAUUUGGAAGAAAAUCUCACCUGGAAGUCAAAUUUGGAGGAACAGUACUACAGAACUGAAGAGAGUAUGUUAGAAGGCUCAACGGGAUAUUCCACCUAAAAAGACAAAUGGCAGGAAGAAUGCAAGUGUGACUUGAGAGGCAUCAGUUACCCCCUGCCAUCUCAUUAGAUCCAAAUAGUAGCUCCCAUAUAACAGGGAACUAUAAUUUUCCCUAUUUUGCCCUUGACAAAGGAGGGUUUUUGUGAAAAGCAUAUGGCACUGAGUUACUGUAAUUAUGUAGAUGAAUAUUCUGUCACACAAGGUAGUCAGAGGCUCUGAGGUGUCCUCAUCUGGAUAAUUCUAUCAUAGAAGGCUACCUGAAACCUGACACUGAUGCAUUGACCAGAAUUCACCAGAAAACUCAGAUUUUUUUUCCUACAGCUUCUCAAAUAUUGUCAUGGACUUGCAAAAAAAUUCUUCGAAGCAUAAUGGAAACAACAGUUAGUGCCUCCAUCUUAUGAACAAUAGUUAGUACCUUCAUCAUAUGGGCCUCCCUGAGCCUAGCCUCUGCCACUACUUCCUGUGAGUGUCUGUGGCACAAUAGCAACAGCCUGGUUCUACCCCAGGUACUUUUUUUUUUUUCUCUGUCUUUUUAAUUUAAAUUAGAAACAAGCUUGUUUUACAUGUCAAUCCCAGUUCUCUCUCCCCUCCCUCCCUGACCACUCCAAAUAACACCCUACCUAUCCAAUACCAUUUCUGCUCCCCAGGGAGGGUGAGGCCUUCCAUGGGGGGCUUUUUGAAUCUGUCUUAUCUUUUGGGAUAAGGCCUAGGCCCUCCCCCAUGUGUCUAGGCUCAGAGAGUAUCUC
ensembl:lncRNA